GCACUGGUGGUUCGGUGGUAGAAUGCUCCCCUUCCACGCGGGCGACCUGGGUUCGAUUCCCGGCUAAUGCA
rnacentral:tRNA from 1 species